rnacentral:rRNA from 1 species
UACGUAGGGUGCGAGCGUUGUCCGGAAUUAUUGGGCGUAAAGAGCUUGUAGGCGGUUUGUCGCGUCUGCUGUGAAAAUCCGGGGCUCAACCCCGGACUUGCAGUGGGUACGGGCAGACUAGAGUGUGGUAGGGGAGACUGGAAUUCCUGGUGUAGCGGUGGAAUGCGCAGAUAUCAGGAGGAACACCGAUGGCGAAGGCAGGUCUCUGGGCAGUAACUGACGCUGAGGAGCGAAAGCGUGGGGAGCGAACAGG